CUCUCUCCUAUUUCUCUCGAUUCUCUUGCUUCUCUCUUAGAAACCUUCUUUUUCUUGAGUCUAUUACCUUUAUCAUCAGAGAAGGUUUCAUUAUCUGUGAUACAAUCUCUUCUACAAUCUUCCGAAUUUGUGUUUCAAGUGAUUCUUAGGCUUUUGCAUCUUCUUCGUUGCCCCAUCUGGCUAUCUCUCUGUGGCGAUUCAAGAAUAUGAAGGCCAUUCAAGGAGAUUAGUGAAAGUUUUACCAGAUCCAUGAAGAAUCUGACAUCUACAGUUCCGAUUUACAGGUUUACGUGUGAUCCUGAGGUCGCCAUGUAGUAAUCGUGCCAUGUAGUCGUUGAUGAUUUAGUGCAAUCUAGAGGCACUUUUAUUGAAUGCCAGGAGCUUAAUAAGGUGGCGGUGUUACAAAUAUCUGUGCCAAUAGAUGCUACAAAACCAAUUGUUCGAACAACAGUAGGAGCCACUUCAUAUGCUCUUUUGAACACGAAUCGCUUAUAUGGAGAUUAGACCAUUCCCGGGUGCAUGUGCCAAUUUCUAUAGGUACUUUGCUGUUUCUAUGUCAAGGGUGUAUUAGAUGUAAUUGGAAAUUUUUGGCGAGCCUCCCGCUGGUCGCUUUUUAUUAUUUAUUUAAUUUUUUUGUUAUUCAAAACAUAUAUAUUUUUUAUUAUACACAACAAUUAGGAUUUAAGCAGAUAUAUCAUGAAGUCAUGAACUAUGGUUAUUACUUAUUAGUGUUGAUAUAUUCUUUUUCCAUUAAUUUCUUUAUAAAAAGAUAUACCCUGUGUGUUAUUGGCUUGGUUGCUGGAUAUGUGGCCUUCAAGGAUGAAUAAGGAAUCGCUGUUGUUGAUUUUAAUGUUUGAAAGUCCAACCGGAGUGAGAUCAAGGUCAUUGGGAAUCACAAAAGGGUACAUUUUGUAUUUAACCCUUUUUAGCUAUUUGAAAACUGAAGUCUUUGUGUUACGCAGUUGUGAUGAAAGAUCAUAGUCAUAUUAAAAAAACCAAUUUAAUUUAUAUCAGUUGGGUCUUAUUUGAUGUAGCGUAUGGUUUGUUUGUGGAUUGCAAUGAAAGAAAAUCAAAAGUUGGUUCGUUUUAGGUGAAAUGAUCGUUUGAAAGAAAGAGAAGUUAGCUAAUUUGAUCCCAAAAGGCAAAAAUAUUUUAUAUUAUAAAUGAUGUAUCAGAUGCCCUAGCAUAUGAUAUGUUACUUUAUU